GCCCCGGCUAACUACGUGCCAGCAGCCGCGGUAAUACGUAAGGACCGAGCGUUGUCCGGAAUCAUUGGGCGUAAAGAGUACGUAGGCGGUAAGAUAAGUUAGAAGUAAAAGGCACCGGCUCAACCGGCGUAAGCUUUUAAAACUGUUUACUUGAGACAUUGAGGGGGAAGUGGAAUUUCUAGUGUAGCGGUGAAAUGCGCAGAUAUUAGGAAGAAUACCAGAGGCGAAAGCGACUUUCUAGCGAUGAUCUGACGCUGAGGUACGAAAGCGUGGGAAGCAAACAGGAUUAGAUACCCUGGUAGUCCACGCCGUAAACGAUGAGUGUUAGAUGUCCGAGGUAAACUUGGGUGUCGGAAGCCAACGCGAUAAACACUCCGCCUGGGGAGUACGCACGCA
rnacentral:rRNA from 1 species